GACAGAGGGUGCAAACGUUGCUCGGAAUCACUGGGCGUAAAGGGCGUGUAGGCGGGACAGUAAGUCGGGCGUGAAAUCCCUGGGCUCAACCCAGGAACUGCACUCGAAACUACUAUUCUUGAGUGUCGGAGAGGAAAGCGGAAUUCCUGGUGUAGAGGUGAAAUUCGUAGAUAUCAGGAGGAACACCAGUGGCGAAGGCGGCUUUCUGGACGAUAACUGACGCUGAGACG
rnacentral:rRNA from 1 species